rnacentral:rRNA from 1 species
GAUUAACGCUAGCGGCAGGCCUAAUACAUGCAAGUCGAGGGGCAGCAGGGUGUAGCAAUACAUCGCUGGCGACCGGCGCACGGGUGCGUAACACGUAUGCAACCUACCUUUAACUGGGGAAUAGCCCUCCGAAAGGAGGAUUAACACCGCAUAACAUCACGAGACGGCAUCGCCUUGUGAUCAAACCUCCGGGGGUUAAAGAUGGGCAUGCGUCCGAUUAGCUAGUUGGCGGGGUAACGGCCCACCAAGGCGACGAUCGGUAGGGGUCUGAGAGGAUGAUCCCCCACACUGGUACUGAGACACGGACCAGACUCCUACGGGAGGCAGCAGUAAGGAAUAUUGGACAAUGGUCGCAAGACUGAUCCAGCCAUGCCGCGUGCAGGAUGAACGAUCUAUGAUCUGUAAACUGCUUUUGUUCGGGAAUAAACCCCUUCACGUGUGGAGGGCUGAAUGUACCGAAAAAUAAGGGUCGGCUAACUUCGUGCCAGCAGCC